rnacentral:tRNA from 1 species
GGGCGGGUGGUUUAGUGGAAUAAUACUUCUAUUGUCUUGUCAUAACAAUUACCGAAGUGGUCCAGGGUUCGAGUCCCUGUCUGCCCA